rnacentral:lncRNA from 1 species
UAGAGCUGGUGCAGGUGAGGAGGGGUUGGGAGGGCAAGGGGGCUGAACCUGAAGCUCCUCGGAACUGGUAGAGCUUGUGCAGAUGAGCAGGGGCUGGGAGGGCAGGGGGCAGCCCUGGGACCACCUGAGAGCUGUAGAUCUUGGGCAGGUGAGCACAAACUGGUAGGGCAGGGGAAGAACCUGCAGUUCCUGGGAGCAGGAGGAGCUUGUGCAGGUGAGCAGGGGCUGGAGGGCAGGGGGCUAAACCUGGAGCUAUUGGGAAGAGGUUAGGCUUGUGCAGGCGAGCAGGGGGUGGGAGGGCGAGGGUCAGUCCUGGGAGCCCUUUCGAGCCAAUAGAGCCCAGGCAGGUGAGCAGGGGCUUGGCGGGCAGGGAGCAUCCCUGGGAUGAGUUUGUGCAGGUGAGCAGGGGGUGGGAGUGUAGGGAGCAGUCCUAGCAACUCCUGGGAGCUGGUAGAGCUUGGGCAGGUGAACAGGGGCUGGAAGUGCAGGGGGCACAUCUGGGAGGCCCUGGGAGCAAUUAGCGCUCUGGCAGGUGAGUAGGGGCUCGGAGGGCAGGGAGCAGCCCUGGGAGCUCCUUGGAGCAGGUAGAGCUUGGGCAGGUGAGCAGGGGGUGGGAGGGCAGGGGGCAGUCCUAGCAACUCCUGGGAGCUUGUAGAGCUUGGGCAGGUGAGCAGGGGGUGGGAGGGUAGGGAGCAGUCCUGGGAACUCCUGCGAGCAGGUAGAGCUUGUGCAGGUGGGCAGGGGUGGGAGGGCAGGGGGCUGAACCUGGAGCUCCUCAGAACUGGUAGAGCUUGUGCAGAUGAGCAGUGGCUGGGAGGGCAGGGGGCAGCCCUGGGAGCAAUAGACCUUGGGCAGGUGAGAACGAGCUGGUAGGGCAGUGGAAUGAACCUGGAGUUACUGGGUCAAGAAGAGCUUGUGCAGGCAAGCAGGGGCUGAAGGGCAGGGGGCUAAACCUGGAGCUAUUGGGAAGAGGUUAGGCUUGUGCAGGCGAGCAGGGGGUGGGAGGGCAAGGGUCAGUCCUGGGAGCCCUUGCGAGCCGGUAGAGCCCAGGCAGGUGAGCAGGGGCUGGGAGGGCAGGGAGCAUCCCUGGGACCUCUUGGGAGCAGGUAGAGCUUGUGCAGGUGAGCAGGGGGUGGGAGGGUAGGGAGCCGUCCUAGCAACUCCUGAAUCUGGUAGAGCUUGCGGAGGUGAACAGGGGCUGGGAGUGCAGGGGGCAGUCCUGGGAGCCCCUGGGAGUAAUUAGAGCUUGGGCAGGUGAGCAGGAGCUUGGAGUCUAGGGGGCUAAACUGGAGCUAUUGGGAAGAGUUUAGGCUUGUUCAGGUGAGCAAGGGGUGGGAGUAGAGGGGGCAUUCCUAGGAGCUCCCGCGAGUUGGUCAAUCUCGGGCAGGUAAGCAGGGGCUCAGAGGCCUGGAGCAGC